GAGAGAACGGGAAUUUAGGGGACUCCUGCACUCGUUCGUCCCUGCGCUGUGAUGCAGUCUGCUCGGGUGAUGAGGACAGGAGGAUUCCUGAGUUUGUUCUUCCCAGCUAU
ensembl:miRNA gga-mir-6666 gga-mir-6666